rnacentral:lncRNA from 1 species
UUGCAGCCCAUCGCGUUUUAACCGGCUCAACACUGAAUUUCGGAGCGCGGGAUUCAUUCGACAGCAGCCCAGCCCAAGGGACGGCGCUGAAGCAGCGAUGGCCGGGCAGGGCUGGCGUAGCUCCCCGCGCGCCGCCUGCAAAGGGGACAGGUGAGAAGAACAGAUGAUUAUCAAUUAUCCCUGCAAAUGGGAGACGUCCAGCCCAGAUGUACGGCCUGCCCUUCACAGCAGCCUCCAGAUUUCAACUACCUUUGCAUUUUUGUCUCUUUUUCGGUGUGUUUUGGUCUUUAAAAAAAAAAAAAGAAAAAGAAAGGAAGAAAAAAAGAAAACUCUCUCUUAUACAAACCAAGUCACAGAACCAGCAGCAGUUUCAUAUUAAAAGAACAUUUGGUGGCAUUUUAAUCUCCGAAGGGAUCUGGAGAAGUGCAUUUUGUGCUCCUCACAUGGAGGCUGCUGCUCAGUGGGCUCACACAGGAAGCCGGGAGAGACAACACCCACCUCAGCCACACGGGAAUUUUGCCACCCCCAAGGUGAGACACAAGAAUUUUGCGAGGACACUCAGCUUUAUCCAGAGAUCAUUUGACAGGUCAUGUGCCUUCACAGCAUUUAUGUGUGAAAUAGGUGGGUUUUCCCCAAAUGUACACCUUCAAACUUCUGCUAGCGUAGAGAUGAACUCGGUCUUUACAGCCUUACUAACACAGUGUUGCUAUUACAAAAGCUCAUUGUUGGGUUUGAUGCAGGCUGGGGUCCCAGCUGGGAUUAGAGCUCCGCUGUGCCAGACACUGCAAACGCAUGGAAGAGAGAAGACCUUUCCAGGAUGA